rnacentral:piRNA from 1 species
UGCCAAGGCCACACAGCCUGGCAGUGG